rnacentral:lncRNA from 1 species
AUGUCUCUGUGGGAUUUUGGAGACGGAGGAAAAGGAAGCAGGGGCUGAGUUUGUGCGCGCUGGUGUCUAUUGCCUUUGGGUGGGUGACGUAGUGUGACCAAUGCCCACGAGGUGGCGACAAACGACCUCCUGGCCGGAGGACUGGAUGGAUGCAAAGAGGUGGGUGAAAUGGGUUUGCUUUCUGUCCUAACCCGAAGGAUAACCACUUACUGGAUGCUGACCACGUGGCAGGCACGCCCAGAAGUGCUGUUUAUACAUUAACUUACUGAUUUAUCUUUGCAGCAAUCCCUUGAGUCUUACAAAAGAUAAGGAACUGGUUUGCCCCAGGUCACAUACUUGGUGGUUGGCAGAGCUGACAUUUGACCUCCUCUGUGACUGAGGACACGGGGCUGUGAUCUUAUGUACUACACUCUCCUGGACCCUAAAGGAAAUACCCUAUUAAUUCGGGGAAGAAGUUGAAUGGCUCAAACUAUGUCUCACCCUCACUGAGGUCUGUAGCUCCCUUCAUCCUUCAUCGUCAUAAAAUAAAGGAGUCCAGAAAGACCAGGGACUUAGAAUCCGAGAGUUAGAGAAGUCUUGACCAUCUACUCCAGGCACCCAUUCAAUAUAGGACUUUUUCAGGCACAGGCCUGAAGGAGGAUAAGAUAGUCUCUGCUAGAUCUCUUCUGGGGCCAGGAUGUCAAAUGAAGAUGGCAUGGUUCCCUCUCUGUCUUCCCAUGGUCACCUUCCUCUCCAAGAAGGGAAAUUCAGAAGAAUGAGACCGGAAGGAAGAUUCAUAGCCCCUGUUCAUCAAAGCAUUUGUCGGGAACACCAUGCAUAUGAUGCUGUUCUGUUUUGAGUCAGCGAGAGCAACUGGACAGCAG